CAUGGGUAAUCUGCUGCGGACUGAUAAAAUGAAUAUGCGUAUCAAUACCACCGGCAGUAGCGAUCAGACCAGCGCCACCAUGUACUUCGGUACUGGCGCCGAUGAUCAUCUCAGGAUCUACACCGUCCAUGGUAUCGGGAUUACCGGCCUUUCCGAUCUUUACGAUACGCCCGUCUUUAAUACCGAUAUCUGCUUUCACAAUCCCCCAGUGAUCGAUGAUCAUGACGCUGGUAAUGACCAUAUCCAACACGCCUUGUUCACGGGUGGCAGUAGAUGACUGUGCCAUCCCGUCACGGAUG
rnacentral:sRNA from 1 species